GUUGCUCCGGGCCGGGUGCAGGCCGGCGGAGCUGAGACUCGCCCUCGCCCGCUGCCCCCGAGAUACUGUGGGCUUGGCCGCUGCACCUCUGCGUGGUUGUCCGUUCCGCAUAAGCGUCGUUCCGCAGCCCCGCCUCCUCGUAGACACUCCAUCCUCACCUCCUGGCCAAUACGGGCCACUACGUCCCCUUCUCCCUCUGAAGUUCAGCUCACACAUUUAUUCAACACCUACUGUGAUGGGCCAGGCAUGGUGGCAGCAACAGAAUAAUAAGAGAAUUGCUGAGGUCGAAGAGGAGCAUAUGGUUUACCAAAUAUGUUUUCAAUAUUCAUUCUGAAGGCAACAGACAGAGAAAGCUGGAAUAAAUUUAUGCCAAAAUAUGAUCAACAGUUGUCUAGGACCAACAAAAAUUCGGUGAGAUUACAGCCUUCCCUGAGCUUUCCAGUCAUCGUGACUGCUGGGAAAGAAGAGAAUAGCCACCGCCGCCCUCCGCAGGAAUGCACUACACUCAGCCCAGGAAUUCCCCUAGGAACCGCCGGGCGACAGACAGGCAUUUACUUCCGGGAGGAGUCAGCCCUCCGAACCCGGAAGUGAGUGGGAUAAGACGCGCUGCAUUCUGGGAAGAGUUACGGAAGCGGGGUUGGGCGUCCGCUGGCUGUUACCAGGGCAACCGGAGGCGGUUGACAGUUAUCCGCGGGUUGGAGUGGUUAGCUGGAGAGGCUGAGAUGCUCAGAGGUCGUUUGGGAUGAGCGAAGCGGGCAAGAGGGCCCUUUUAAAGAGCAGAUUCUCCUGUCAGGAGGUUAUCCAGUUGUGCCCCGCAGGAGCGCCUGCCCGGGGGAUCUGGGUCAUGCCGUCUGGUUCGUCUUUGAGCAUUCCGACGAGAUGAAAUGUGGCCCAGAGUAGCUCCUGUCACUUCUCUAGCUUUCUGCCUACUUUUAGAAAAUUGCCAUCGAGUUAAUUCUGACUCCUAGUGACCCUGUGGACAGCAGAGCGGAACCCUGCCCGGUCUUUCUGCGCCAUCCUCUCACCUUCUGGUGUUACAUCAGACAAUGCUCUGCUGCUAUUCAUAGGGUUUUCAUGGCCAGUUUUUUUCAGAAGCGAGUGGCCAGGACCUUCUUCCUAGUCUGUCUUAGUCUGGAAACUCUACUGAAACCUGUCCACCAUGGGUGACCCGCUGGUAUUUGAAAUCCCGAUGGCAUAGCUUUCAGCAUCACAGCAACAAGCAGCCACCACAGCAUGACAACCGACAGUCAGGUGGUGUGGUCCCCUGACUGGGCAGUGACCAGGGCCUCGGCGGUGAGAGCGCCAGAUCUUAACCACAAGACCACCAGGGCUGGCUUAAAAAUUAUCACAAGGAGAAAAAAACAAACAAACACAACCUGCCCCCCCCCCAACACACACACACCCCUGUAAUUGAUGUUGAAGCAGGAACCCGAGAACAUAUUUGCAACAUAUAUCACAAAAACUGUAUGUCCUUACUAUACAAAGAGCUCUAACACUCACUAAAAAGGUCCAGCACCCUAACAGACAAACCUGGCGAGGAACAUGAACAAGCAAAUAGCACGCUACAAAUGGCUGAGCAUGUGGAAAUACUUUUGUUCUUGUUAGUGAAGAAAUACAAAUAAUGGCAACAAUGAGAUAUGUUUUCAUUGGAUUAGCAAAACUACAAAGGUUGGUGUUGGCAGAGAUAGGAGAUAGGGUACUGUCAGAGUAUAAAUCAGUUAGGCCGUUCCAAGUGCAGUGUGGCAACAUGUAUCAAAAUGUGAAAGAUGCAAACCUUUGAAUCAACAGUGAUGCUUCUAGGAAUGUGUCCAAAGGUGAUAAUCAGACAAAUCAGAAAAGACGCAUGUGCAACAAUGUUCAUUACAGUAGUUGUUAAAAAUUGGAAACAACUUAAAGGCUUAUAAAUAAGAGACUAAAUGUAAUUUUGAGCAAAAAAUAGCUUGUUACAAAACAUCGUGAGAAAUGUGAUCCUGUUUAUAUAAAUUACGUGUAAGUACACAUAGAAGUAAUGUUUAACAAAAUGUUAGUAAUGGAAAUCUCUGGUGGGAUUUCAGAUGAGUUUCAAGCUUGUGAAAAAGUGAGAAAAUGGUAUGAACUACUGUGUACCCCACUCAGCUACAAUGCAUGCCCAGUCUUGUUUCAUCUAUGGUCCCACCCCAGUUUUUGAGGCAAAUCUAAGACAGCUUAUCUGUAGAUAGUUUGUGUACCUCUAAAAGAUAAGGAUGCUUUUAAAACAUAAUCUCAAUAUCAUCAUACCUAAAAAACUUCUAACAAUUCCUUCAUAAAAUCAAUUAUAUCUGAUCAGUGUUCACAUUUUUGUCUUAUACAUUGUUUUGUAGUUAGAUCGAGGUCCAUACAUUACCAUUCGUCUGUGUAUUUCCUAAUGUAUAGAUUCUCUCUCUCUCUCUCCCUGUUUUUCCCCCCUGCAAUUUAUUUGGGGAAGUAACUGUGUUGUUUGAGCUAAAGAGGAGUUUUGAGAGUAGGCCUGACCCUAAUAUUUACAGACCUGGGACCAUAGUGCAAAUGGAGCCCCAAAUACCAUAUAUCUAACUAUUUAAAUGCCUCAGCUCCAGCUAACAGUUCUGUACGUUCUACACUCCUACCUUGACAAACAAACCCUCUUAACGACCUGGAAAGCCAAGUUAGAAUUUAGAAUUCUCAGACUUCUUAGAAUUCCUCACUGGAUUGUGCUUCACCGGGGAGCUGGCACUUGGCCCACAGGCUGUCCCAUUCUCUUCCCACCUCUGGCUCCAUACCCUUCUCAAGGACACCCCAGCCCACAAGUCCAAGUUCAAUCUACACCCUGUGCAAACAGGUACCGCUGGAGGCACAGUCCCGCCUUGGAAGGAUGAACCAAAGACCAGGCCCAUGCAGGCUCUGAAAGUAGGCGUGGGGCGUAUAGACUGGGAAGUUCAGGUUCUACGGAGCCAGAGCAUGGUCUGGAAGGGGAGGCGUCAACUCUAGGUGGGCAUGUCCCCUUGGUCCCAUGGACUUCUCAGCCCAUCUGGAGGGCACAGCUAGCAGAGGGCCAGAGCAGGGCCCCUUGCCUGGGUCUAAGGCCAGUGCUGCCAUAAAGCUCCCCACGGUCCGGGUUUUGCUGAUCACAUCCCCAAGAUAUCGUUAAACAAGUUUCUUUUGUUUUGUUUUUUUUAAGAUUUUAUUUUUCCUUUUUCUCUCCAAAGCCCCCCAGUACAUAGUCGUGUAUUUUUAGUUGUGGGUCCUUCUGAUUGUGGCAUGUGGGAUGCCGCCUCAGCAUGGCCUGGUGAGCGGUGCCAUGUCCGCGCCCUGGAUCUGAACCGGCGAAACCCUGGGCCACAGAAGCAGAGCGCAGGAACCUAACCACUCGGCCACAGGGCCAGCCCCCUAAACAAGUUUCUUUGUUUCCUCUAUUUCCUAUAAAUUGAUACUUAGAUCUAGAAGUUUGAUCAGAUGAUUCGGGUACAAUGUUUUGGGCAAGACUAUUUUAUAGAUGAGUGUUGUGUACACCCAUCAGGAGGCACAUAAAAUCUGGUUGUCUUUCUUUUUAAUGGGGUUAUAAUUAAGAUAAAGUAAAAUCUUUUUUUCUUUUUUUUUUUUUUUUUUGGUGAGGGAGAUUGUCCCUGAGCUCACAUCUGUGCCAGCCUUCCUCUAUUUUGUAUGCGGGAUGCUGCAACAGUGUGGCUUGAUGAUCAGUGUGUAGGUCUGUGCCCAGGAUCUGAACCCACGAAACCCAGCCCCCCAAAGCAAAGGACACAAACUUAACCACUACGCCACUGGGGCUGGCCCCAAAAUGCACAAAUCUCAACAGUUCAGUUCAAAUAGUUUCAACAAUUGUGUAGAGCCAUGUAGCGUUCUCCCAAAACAAGAUGUAGAAUAUUUCUAUCACCCCAGAAAGUCCUCUCAUGAGUCUUUAGUCAGUUCCACUCCACCUACGGAGCCAACCACCUUCUCACUCCCCUCACUAUGGAGAGUUCUGCCUAUUCUUUGACUUCAUAUAAAUGGAAUCGUACAGUGUGUACUCUUUUGUGUGUACUUUCCUUAAAUUAACAUAAUUUUUCAAUUUAUCUGUGUUGCAUGUAUUAGUACACCAGUUCAUCCUUUUUUAUCGCUGAGUGGUGUUCCAUAUAUGGAUGUACCAUAAUUUGUUCAUUCUCCUCUCUGUGGAUAUUAGGGUAGUUUCCAGUUUGGGGCUAUUAUGAAUAAGGCUGCUAUGAACAUUCUUGUUCACAUCAUCUUGUGGGCAUUUUCAUUUCUUCUGGGUAAAUAUUUAGACAUGGAAAUGAUUGUUUAACUUCAAAAGAAAGAGAUUGUCAAACAGUUCUUCAAAGUGGUUGUAGCAUUUGACAUUUCCAGCAACCAUGUAUGUGAAUCCCAGGUGCUCCACAUCCUCUCCAACAUGGAAUGCUGGCAAUCUGGUUAAUUUCUGGUUGUCUCUCUUUUUGUGCUAUUAGAAGCUAUUGAUUAUCAUUACUUAGAGACAUUAGUUUGUUAGGGUUUCCAAAAUGGUGUUAUUGUAAUUCUAUCACUUGUUUAUUUGCUGAAACGCUUCUAUGAAGAGGAACUUUCUUCCAACAUCUAUUUGAGUUCCCUGAAAUACAACAGGAAAGACAGGAUUCAUGCUUAAUCCUUUCUCUUUUUUACCAAUUUUCAAAAUAACGUGUUGGUUCUCUCACGUCCAUCAAAGAUUGCCAAUGAAAGGUUUUUUUUAGUAUCAUUAUAAACUCAUGAAUUUAAAUAUAUUUGAUGUGUUUAAUCCAUUUCAGUUAUCAUCCUUACUGAUGCUCAAAGUAUCCAAUCUUUAGCAAGUGGGGAUCUCUUCAGAUUAGCUCCUCAGUUCUUUUCUUUUUUUUAGGAAGAUCAGCCCUGAGCUAACAUCUGCUUCCAAUCCUCCUCUUUUUGCUGAGAAAGACUGGCCCUGAGCUAACAUCUGUGCCCAUCUUCCUCUACUUUAUAUGUGAGACGCCUACCACAGCAUGGCUUGCCAAGCAGUGCCAUGUCGCCACCCAGGAUCCGAAACAGUGAACCCAGGACCGCCGAAGUGGAACGUGUGCACUUAACCACUGCGCCACCCAGCCGGCCCCUUGUAGCUCCUCAGUUCUUUAACACAACCCUCUAAGUCUUUGAUAGCUUCCUUGCCUUCUUAAUGACAGGAUGUUCCAGACUGAUCUUCAAUGUUUCCUACCCCAGACAUGGAAUCAGCCAUUACUCCAAGGGACCCUGGUUCUUUUUAGUGAUAAAUGGUAUUUUUGAGGCCACAGUCUGGUAAGGGUGUUUAUUGCUGCUGGGAGGUUCAUUGUUUCCAGACCUUUGCAGUGGGCAGAGCUAGGAAAUGUGUUGUUUUAAAGAUAUAACACAACAUGAGUUUAUAUUGAUGUGUCCAAUUCAAACUCGAGUACCCCCAUCAGUCUGACAUGUGUAUCUCCCUUCCCCAUGCCUAAAACCCACCAUAAUGGCUCAUUUGCUUUAUCCCACCACGUACAAACAACAGGCUCAGAGUAACAGUCUUGGCACUACCACCACAAUACGAUUACUGAAAACCGUUUUGGGUGUUUUGUGGUCGUUUGGAGGGGGAGGGCAUUUUGUACCUCUUUCUGUCAUUAGGCGAUAUUCGGGUAGGAGUGUGCAGGCGAUCACUGUGGUUUUAAGUCACUUGGAAAGGUUCCUCAUGGGUGACUGUGCCACUAACUCAACACUUAGUUGGGUUAAUUUGUUUAAUUUUGAUUUCAACUUUUAGGGAUUGCAUUUUUAAAUUUAACUUUGUUUUUUAACUAUAUAUAAUAUUUAAAUGGUUCUGAAGUCGUCUAUAAAAGAGGGCUAUUAGAGAAAAAUCUAGCUUCUUCGCCUGUCCUGUCUGUGCUGAUCCCUCCCUUGCCAUAUAAAUACCCAUCAUUUUUAUUGUUUCUCCUUCCAUUUUGUAAAUAUAUGUGCAAUUAUAUAUAUUUAUAUAUAAUAUAUAUUUUCAUUCUUCCUUUUAAAAUAAAUGGUAUCAUACUAUGCACUCAAUUCACUCAUUUAAAGUGUACGAUUUAAUGGUUUUUAGUGUAUUCACAAAGUUGUGCAACCAUCAUCACAAUUUUAGAACAUUUUAGUUACCCCCAAAAGACACCCUGCAUGCCUUAGUCACCCUUUUCAGUCCCCCAUCCUCCCUAGCGCUAAGCAACCACUGAUCCACUUUCUGUCUCUAGAGAUUUGCCUAUUCUGACUAUUUCAUAUAAAUCAAACAUACAACAUGUGGUCUCUUGCAGCUGGCCUUUUCUAUGUACCGUAACGUUUUCAAGGUUCAUCUAUGUAGUGUGCGUACUGGUACUUCAUUCCUUUUUAUUGAUGAAUUUAUUCCAUUAUAUGGGUAUACCACAUGUUAUGUAUCCAUUCAUCAGUUGAUGAACAUUUGGGUUUUUCCACUUUUUGGCUAUUCUGAAUAAUGUUGCUGUGAACAUUUGUGUACAAAUUAUUGUGUAGACGUAUGUUUUCAUUUUACUUGGGUGGAAUUGCUGAGUCACAUGCUAACUCCAUGUUUAACAUUCAGAGGAACUGCCAAACUGUUUUCCAAAGCAGCUGCACCGUUUUACAUUCCCACAGCAAUAUGGAUUCCACAUUCUUGCCACCACUUGUUAUUGUCCAGCUUUUUGUUUAUAGCCGUCUUGGUGUGAGUGAAAUGAGAUCUCAUUAUAAUUUUAAUUUUCAUUUCCCUAUUGCUAAUGAUGUGGAGCAUCUUUUCAUGUGCUUAUUGGCCAUUUAUUUAUCUUCUUUGGAGAAAUGUCUGCUCGAAUCCUUCAUCUGUUUAUCAGUUGGGUUAUUUGUCUUUCUAUUGUUGUAUGAGUUCUUUAUGUAUUCUGGAUACAAGUCCUUUACCAACACACGACUUGCAAAUAUCCUCUCCCGUUCUGUUGUCUUCAUUUUCUUCACGGUGUCCGAAGCACAGAAGUUUGGGUUUGUUUUUUUUUUAUGAAGUCUUAUUUAUCUACUUGUUCUUUUGUUGCUGUGCUUUUGGCAUUUUGUCUAAGAAGGCCUUGCCUAGCCCAAGGUCAUAAACAUUUACUCUGAUGUUUUAUUCUAAGUGUUUUAUAGUUUUAAUUCUUAACAUUUAGGUCUGUGAUUCAUAGUUGUGAGUUAAUUUUUGUGUCUGGGAUGAGGUAGAGUUCCAACUUCAUUCUUUUGCAUAUGAAUAUUCAGUGGUCCUAGCACCACUUGUUGAGAAGAUUAUUCUAGUCUUUGCUCAAUUUAAUUGUGUUGGCACCCUUGUAGAAAAUCAGUUGACCAUAAAUGUAAUAAUUUAUUUCUGGAGUCUCAAUUUUAUUCCAUUGAUCUAUAUGUCUAUCCUUAUGCCAGUACCCCACUGUCUCAAUUACUGUGAAUUUGUAGUAAGUUUGAACUCAGGAAAUGUGAGUCUUCCAACUUUCUUCUUUUUCAAGAUUGUUUAGCUAUUCUCGAUCCCUUGCAUUUCCAUAUGAAUUGUCAAUUUCUGGAAAAAAGCCACCUGGGAUUUUGAUGGAGAUUACGUUGUAUUCGCAGGUCAACUGGGGAAGUUUUGCCAUUUCAGCAAUACUGAGUCUUCCGAUCCAUGAAUACUGGAUGUCUUCCCGUUUAUUUAUGUCUUCUUUAGUUUCUUUUAACAGUAUUUUGUAGUUUUCAGAGUAUGAGUUUUGUACUUCUUUUGUUAAAUUUAUUCCUCAGUAUUUUAUUCUUUUUGAUGUUACUGUAAAGGGAAUUGUUUUCUUAACUUCAAAUUCCUCCUUGCUUUUUUAACCUACCAGUAGACCUGAAGACACUCCACUGUAGUAAAUAAAGAGACUCCUCAUUCUUCUUUACAGCUGCAAUUAUUUUCUUAGCCUACGGUUUAAAUUUUUCACAAGGAUUAGAUAUUUGUACCAUUUAAUAAAAAGUUAUUUUGAAAUAAAUAAAAUAAUGUACCCAUCAGAUAAUUACUUUCAUCACUAGUUAAUAGAUAUGGCAAAUAUUAAUAUAUUAGAGCUGCCAUAAUUGCCUGGCAGCUCACCUCUUCUUCUAACGGAACUUGUUUUGUGCACAGAUUUUCUUUCCCUAAAGGACUAUUUACUGGACCAUAGAACUAUCUACCAUCACCAUCACUGAUUGGGCCGGGGGGUGUGGCACUGUAUCCACCAUCAGUAGCUCUUCUCCUUUCUUCUAUUCUAAUGUAAAAAUGUGUUUAGGUGUCUGUGUCCAAAUGCAUUAUGACAGCUGAGUACCCCCUCCUCAACCUAUGAGGGUGAAUCGUGAUUUGUCUAAGUCAGUCAUGACAAUUGCCCUUUCCCUUGCCAGUCUGCCAGUGAGGUGCGGGGGGGAAGUCUAGUAGAGGCUUUCUGGGAAAGUUUUUCCUGCUCUCAAAAAGGAGCACGUGAUAAGCACAGUUCAUUUUGUGUCUCCCGGUGUUGUCAACCCCUGAAGUUGUGGCAGCCAGCUUGGAAUCAUGAAAGAAGCCAACCUCAGAGGAAAAGCCAACAUGCUGAGGAUGACAGAACAGAAAGAUGGAAGGAGGCUGGGUCCCUGACGAGGUCACUGAGGACACACCCUAGCUCCAGACUAUUGUGAUAGCUCCAG
ensembl:lncRNA